rnacentral:rRNA from 1 species
CAUAAUGGGGCGAUUAAAAUGUUUGUGAGCUAAAUACACGAAAUUAUGUGAGCUAAUUUUUUUAACAUACCAUGUAGCAUAAUGGCUAAAUGAAACAAAAUUAGGGGUGAUAGGCCUUACAAACAUAGUGAUAUCUUGAUUCCCCUCAAAUGUAUUAGUACACCUACAUAUUUAAAGCUAUAAGGUUUUAAAUGAUAAUUAAAUUUGAUUAAUAAUUUGUAAGAUAUAAAAAUCUAUACACUUCACUAUCUAAUAUGUAUAUCAAAGGAUUAUAAGUUGUAAGGGGAUGUAUAACAAUUCGGUUAAGUAUUAAUAAUGUUGCUAUAAGUACUAAGAAGAUAUUGGUAGUGAACUCGGCAAAAAAGUUUUCAACUGUUUACCAAAAACAUAGCUGCGUGUAUAUACACGCAGUUUUUUCUGCUCAAUGAAUAUUAAAUAGCCGCAGUACCUUGACUGUGCAAAGGUAGCGUAAUCAUUUGUCUUUUAAUUGGAGUCGUGUAUGAAUGAAUAUAUGGGGACUUUCUUUACCACCAAUAAGACGAGAAAUUACUUAUCGAGUGAAAAAACUCGUUAUCAAAUAAUAGACGAGAAGACCCUAGAAAUUUAUGUGGAAUUUUUGUUGGGGCAACAUAGUAACAAUAAACUUACUGUAUGUAUAUGAAAUUUAUUAGACAACCAAAAUUACUCUAGGGAUAACAGCAUAAUAUUAAAAUGUUUGUGACCUCGAUGUUGGAUUAGGGAGUUAUAGUUUAGAAGACUUUUAACCUUGCUCUGUUCGCGCAGUUCACCCUAC